UACGUAGGUGGCAAGCGUUGUUCGGAAUUACUGGGCGUAAAGGGCGCGUAGGCGGCCUGUUAAGUCGAACGUGAAAUCCCCGGGCUCAACCCGGGAACUGCGUCCGAUACUGGCAGGCUUGAAUCCGGGAGAGGGAUGCGGAAUUCCAGGUGUAGCGGUGAAAUGCGUAGAUAUCUGGAGGAACACCGGUGGCGAAGGCGGCAUCCUGGACCGGUAUUGACGCUGAGGCGCGAAAGCUAGGGGAGCAAACAGG
rnacentral:rRNA from 1 species